ensembl:lncRNA LINC03013 long intergenic non-protein coding RNA 3013
GUUAGAGUUAUUGCUGCCUGAGUUAUAACAGCUGCCCUGGGAAUCUUGUCUGAACAACAAGUUAACUGCUGUUCCCAGUUAUAUCUGGUCUUUCCCACCCCCAAACAUACACAAAAGAUUUUUGUCAUUCUUGGCACUGGACAACAGAAGUGAUAAGACAUGCCAGCAGAACUCUAAAGGCAGAAUGUCCUUCCACCUGUUUUAUGCUGUAAGACAAACUUCCAAGUGCGAGGCAGUGUGGAGGGCUGUUGCCUUGAAUGGCAGCUGAAUGCACCAGCGGGAUCCUUGGCAGCAAUGCCCAGGCACUGAAGUCGGGCAUUCAGGAGAGCUAAAUGGAGAAAAGAAACUUGAGCAAACUGCUUCCUGGAACACUGAGAACCUGAAUGGGAAAUUAAGAAGAACCAGAUUCUUUCUAUUCUUCCACCAGCCAAGUUUUGAAGAUUUGUUUUGAAUCUUGAAGAGAGAGCAGCAAGCCUUUUGGCCUAUGGAUUCUAAGAGUCACAUUCCAACAGGUGAUAUCAAAAGGACAAGGAAGCAGGGAGGGGUGACUUGCACGGAAGGUGCCCAGUGAGAUGUCUCUGCCAUGGAGAUUGUGCUGAUGCCACAAGCAAAGCGUUUGUACCCCUCUCAUCCACAAGAGAAGUCCCUCCGGGUAUUUCAGAUGAUACCUGAAAGGAUGAUAAGGCAGGGAAUCAGAGGCUGACACCGCUAUUGGAUGGACUGGGGGAGUGAAGACCAAAAGGUCAUUUUCAGGAAAAAAAUAAAUUAGGAAGUACAGGGAUAAGACAGAAGCCACCACCAAUAACUCCACACCUACAGCUCCAAAGCAUGUGAUUCAGAAGGAUCCUUGUUGAUAUUGGCCAUCACCUUGUGUCACAAUACCAGUGGCCGCAGAGAUUUAAAUAAAUGCAUCCCAGAUACAGAGUUAAAAGCAUGCCAACAAUGAGGGCUGUGUGGUUUGGAGAAGAGCAGAAGAGCACACUGCUUUCAGUCAGGCAGAGGCAGAUUAGAUUGCCUGCCACCUCCAGUGGGAUGGUGGCUCCGGACAGUCACUCACCUUCUCUAAAACCCACCUCCACCUAGUCUAUAAAAUGCAGAGAACGAACAAUGCCUACUCCACUGAAUUGUAUGAGCAUUAGAAAGGGUGUGUGCAAAUCACCUGACAUUUGGCAGAAUUCAUUACAUGCCAGCUGUUAUUGAAAGUAAUUGAAAUGUUGUCAAGCUAGUCAGAGGAAGAUUUCUAACUAAAAGCUAUACUAGCGAAAGCACUGAGAAUAGAGUGUGAUAUCUCCUAUUAAAAAACACAUACGUAUACAUAAUACAUGUAUGUAAAUACUCAAUAUUUUUAUAGAUAGUUGUCUAAUGAGAUCAUUAAAAUAUAUACAUAUACAUAAUAAAGUUGAAAAGUUUUCUCAAUAAAUAAAAUAUAUACAUAUACACAAUAAAGUUGAAAAGUUUUCUCAAUAAAUUAUAUUGUACAAGAA